rnacentral:rRNA from 1 species
GGCGAUCAGAUACCGCCCUAGUUCUGACCGUAAACGAUGCCAACUAGCGAUCUGCCAGUCGACUCAUCGCUCUGGUGGGGAGCUUCCCGGAAACGAAAGUCUUCCGGUUCCGGGGGAAGUAUGGUUGCAAAGCUGAAACUUAAAGGAAUUGACGGAAGGGCACCACCAGGAGUGGAGCCUGCGGCUUAAUUUGACUCAACACGGGGAAACUCACCCGGCCCGGACACCGUAAGGAUUGACAGAUUGAUAGCUUUUUCAUGAUUCGGUGGAUGGUGGUGCAUGGCCGUUCUUAGUUCGUGGAGCGAUUUGUCUGGUUUAUUCCGAUAACGAGCGAGACUCUGGCCUACUAAAUAGUUGACGCAUUGCCACUGUGCGCACAACUUCUUAGAGGGAUUUUCGGUGUUUUCAACCGCACGAAAUUGAGCAAUAACAGGUCUGUGAUGCCCUUAGAUGUCCGGGGCUGCACGCGCGCUACACUGGCAAACGCAACGUGCCUGUCCUGCCCCGAAAGGAGCGGGUAAACCCCUGAAAUUUUGCCGUGAUUGGGAUCGGACAUUGCAACUAUUGUCCGUGAACGAGGAAUUCCUUGUAGGGGCGAGUCAUCAACUCGUCCCGAAUACGUCCCUGCCCUUUGUA